rnacentral:rRNA from 1 species
GACGAGAAAGGAGACUUCGGUUUCUGAGUACAGUGGCGCACGGGUGCGUAACACGUAAGUUAUCUACCCCGAACUCUGGGAUAACCCUCCGAAAGGAGGGCUAAUACUGGAUAGGGUCCCCGAGGUACAGGCUGCGGGGGGAAAACGGGCCUCUGUUCCAUGCUCGUGGUUUGGGAUGAGCUCGCGGCCCAUUAGCUUGUUGGUAAGGUAAUGGCUUACCAAGGCGACGAUGGGUAGCUGGUCUGAGAGGAUGAUCAGCCACACUGGCACUGAGACACGGGCCAGACUCCUACGGGAGGCAGCAGUGGGGAAUUUUGCGCAAUGGGCGAAAGCCUGACGCAGUAACGCCGCGUGGAGGAUGAAGGCCUUCGGGUUGUAAACUCCUGUCAGGGGGAACGACGGAGCAAGGGUGACAAACCCUUUCCUUCAGACGGUACCUCCAAAGGAAGCCCCGGCUAAUUCCGUGCCAGCAGCCGCGGUAAUACGGAAGGGGCGAGCGUUGUUCGGAAUCAUUGGGCGUAAAGGGCGCGUAGGUGGUUCUGUAUGUCUACCGUGAAAGCGUACGGCUCAACCGUAUUUUGUCGGUAGAAACUGCAGGACUUGAGGCUGGGAGGGGCUGGCGGAAUUCCCUGUGUAGCGGUGAAAUGCGUAGAGAUGGGGGAGAACACUCGUGGCGAAGGCGGCCAGCUACACCAGUUCUGACACUGAGGCGCGACAGCGUGGGGAGCAA